GCCCCAGUAGCCUAGUGGUUAAGGCGCCGUGCUUAUAGGGACUUUAACCUAUACCUAAGCUACGCGGAGAUCGCGAGUUCGACCCUCGCCUGGGGCA